AAAUAGAUUAAGAGCUUCUUGAGGUAGAUCACUCUCCGCAUCAUCAGAUAUCAUUGCAAACCAACGGACCAAGUCCUUCUCGUCCAUAUGGUUAAAAAAAAAUGAGCAUCUUCAACAUUACCUACUCUUGAAUAGCCAGAGAUAUGGCGCGUGAAACAACCAAGUUCAUAGAUGACAUCUUAGUAGAUGAUUCUUUAUCCAUAUCCAUGCAACCACAAAUUGCAUAAAUAGACUGCUUUCCAUAGCUUAAA
rnacentral:misc_RNA from 1 species